GACCGCUUGGCGCAAUGAUAGCGCGUUCGACACCAGAUCGAAAGGUUAGGUGUUCGAUCCGCUCAGUGGUCA
rnacentral:tRNA from 1 species